rnacentral:rRNA from 1 species
GUCCCAGACUCCUACGGGAGGCAGCAGUGGGGAAUAUUGCACAAUGGGGGGAACCCUGAUGCAGCGACGCCGCGUGGGUGAAGGAGUCCUUCGGUACGUAAAGCCCUAUCAGCAGGAAGGAAAAUGACGGUACCUGACUAAGAAGCCCCGGCUAACUACGUGCCAGCAGCCGCGGUAAUACGUAGGGGGCAAGCGUUAUCCGGAUUUACUGGGUGUAAAGGGAGCGUAGACGGCAGUGCAAGUCCGGAGUGAAAGCCCGCGGCCCAACCGCGGGACUGCAUUGGGAACUACCGGGCUGGAGUGCCGGAGAGGUAGGCGGAAUUCCUAGUGUAGCGGUGAAAUGCGUAGAUAUUAGGAGGAACACCAGUGGCGAAGGCGGCCUACUGGACGGUGACUGACGCUGAGGCUCGAAAGCGUGGGGAGCAAACAGGAUUAGAUACCCUAGUA